rnacentral:lncRNA from 1 species
CUAAAUGAGGGAGAAGCAAACGGAAAAUUUUGUGGUUGUUCAUCCACAAAGUUUAUUGUGGGACAGACAGGCACAGUUUACAAGAUCCUUGCAGGGUUGCAGGACAAUUCUUGUCUUCAGGGAACUAAUAUUUUAAUUGGAAAGACACCUAAGAACAUAAGACAAAAUCAAAUAUGUUUCAAGAGAGAGAUAUACAAAGUAUUGUGUGUAGGAGUGUGGAAAAGAAACUUUUUUCUGACAGCUUGGCAAACAGUUGGAAAGACUUCUUAAUUGUUAAUGUCACGUCUGUUUUGAUCUACUCAGUAAGAACACUUGACACCUGUCUGCCAAAAUUAAUGUUUAUUAGGACUGAAUAUUUGAAGACUUUCAGGUCAGUGAGCUGAAGGAUCUGCUACCAUAUUCUCCAAUGCUGUUGGUAGAAAUGAAAAUUGAUAAAACAAAAAAAGUUUUUGGAAAGCGAAUGAAUGACAUAGAUCAGACUUCUGGGAAUUCGUCUACUCUACUGGUAAUUGUGAAUGCUGUAUCCCCAUGCGUGCUUGUGCUCAGUCACUCAGUUGUGUCCAGCUCUGCAACCCUAUGGAUCAUACACAGCCUGCCAGGCUCCUCUGUCCACAGGAUUUUCCCAGGCAAAAAUACUGGAGUGGGUUGCCAUUCCCUUCUCCAGGGGAUCUUCCUCAUCCAGAGAUCAACCAGGGUCUCCUGUAUUGUAGGCGGAUUCUUUACCAUCUGAACGACCGGGGAGGCCCCAAAGCAUUACCCCAUGGACUGUAGCCAUGGACAGGCUCCUCUGUCCAUGGGAUUCUCCAGGCAAGAAUACCGGAGUGGGUAGCCAUUUCAUCCUCCAAGGGAUCUUCCCAACCCAGGGAUCAAACCCACAUCUCCUGCACUGCAGGCAGAUUCUUUCCCACUAGUGCUACCAGGGAAGGCCUUGUAUCCCCAUAGUUGUACAGAAAUCCUUUUUCUUUUCAGAUGCCAGUGUGAGCCUGACAGUCUCCUUGGUAAUAAUUCUCACAGCCCAAAAUCUUCUAGAGUGCAGUAUAAACUUCUUUCCUCUUGUCCUGUCAUUUGCGGAGAUGGAAAACAACCGAUGUCUUUCAUAUAAUGACCCUUCCAAUCUGUUAGACCUUUAUUCUCUAAGCUAAAUAACCCCACAGCUCUGUGGCCUUUGCUCUCAGCCCUGUUUCCCAAGCCUUAAUUACAUUUUUGCUCUUCUCUGGAGUUCUUCCAGUUCCCCACAUCCUCCUUAAAGGGGAGACACAGAGUGGCCACAGUUGGGGUCAGACCAGCACAGGGAAAAGCUAACAGGCCACUUCCUGCCCUUGGCCUUCCCUAGGUCCCACUAUCUCAUUGGUUCUAUAAAUAAAACAGCACUCAUUCAUCUAGUUCUAUGAAGG